UAUGAUUGUAGGCCUGCAGAAGUUUUUGUUGCUUUCCUUACCGGUAUUUGGAGUUCAAUAGUGUUCAUUUAAUAAAAAAAUACGUGAAUUUAUGUAUUAACAACGUUUACUUGUAACGACAAUAUUCCUGGGGAUGUUGCUGUGCAGAAAGUACAAUAUGAAAAUAUAAAAAUUCCAUCUAGCAAGGUCUUCAUGUUACCAGAGUAUUCACAAUAAAAUCCCCCCCUGAGACGACCCACUGACCGACAAGAGAGAACCAGACGUGAAAAGCAGUUGAAAAACGAUAAAAUAAAGACAGUAUUUGGAUUUUCGUGGAAGUCUUGUCAUGCAAGAGACUGGGCACCAACCCUGUUGGGAAAAGUCUAGGCAGGUGAUGAUGGGUUGCAUAACUGAUAUAUUCAACAACAUAAUUAUGUAAAGAGAAUACAACGUUCUCGUCGAUUUGUACAGAAGUUCUAAAUUUAAACCUAUCAAAGUUGAUGGUCAGGUUUUACCCAAAAAGGAUGUAUUGUGGCUAUAAUUCUCCUUUUACAAAGCCAUAUAUUGCUCAUCGCAUAAUUCAAUUCCAUAAGUGUUGCAAGUUCGGUUACAUGGAGUAUAUGUGCCACAAUGAAGUAAAUGUAAAGACAUAGUAAAAACCCAUUAAUUCUAAACCUAAUGAAACUUAAUAAAAUUAUGUGACCAAAAGGCUGGCCUAACUUUGGCCAAAGAAUGUGCAUUGCUAUUCAGGAUGGCAAAAGAAAUGUGAAUGAGUUUCAAUUUUUUUAUUUGUAAAUAUGUAGAUUAAAUUUGUUGUAUAUAAAUUGUUGAAUGUAAAUAUCUAUGUUUUAAAUAUUAUAAUGUAUCUGUAUUCCUAAAAUCAAUACUUUGCUGUUAUGUGAAAUUUAUAUGCAAGCAUCUAUGUGGAGUUUCCAUGUAUAUAAAACAUUGUCGAAAAGUUCUUCUAAACUACAGACAGAUUUGUAUUGCUGUGGAGAUUCUUGUGGCCCUUUCCUCCCAGCAAAAGUAGCAACUGGUGAAGGGUGGGCGUUUGGGGGGCAGUCUUUUGUAAAUGUAGACUUUCAAAAAGUGCUGUUUUGCAGUCAAUUUUGCGUUUGAGUUCAAUAGACAGGUAUUGCCAAAAAGGAUGAAUACAUUGUUGCUAUACUUACUCCUUUUUUUGAAGAGCCGUAUAUUGCUCAUUGUACAAUUCAGUACCGUAAGUGUUGUAAGUUUGAUCACAUGGAUAAACUUGUAUGUGCCACAAUCAAUGUAAUAGUAAAUCAAAUCAAAUCAAUAUGGACAAUCUUUUGUAAAAUUUACUAUUGGAUUUUAAGGCAGACCAUCAUUUGUAAAUAUAGAGUUACCGAAUUGAUUAAUACUGUAUACAAUUCAAUGGUCAGAUAUGAUAAAAUUGUAUUGUUUAUUGUAUUUACUGAUUUGGUCAUGUGGAGUUUAUGUGCAGAUUUAAGCCAUUUUGUACUAAAUGCGGUCAGUUCAGUCUAAAUACUAAGAUUUGUGAAGGCAACCUUGCUGAAUUUAAACCUAUCGAAACGUCGUAACACUUGAUAGUCAAGUAUUAUCAAAGAGGAUGUAUUAUUGUAUCUAUACCAGGCCUCUGCCACUCGAUAAUUAAAUAUUUAAGCAGGGAAAUAAAGGGGACUACUUACCGUCGUAUGGUAGCUAAAAUCUGCUUUGAAUAUAGUGAGGAAGUUUCGAACAAAUUUCAGCCCCUGCAGAAUGGUUUGGUUACGGCUCGAAAGGAGGCUGUGAGGCUGCCACUCCCUGUUGACCUACCUAAAUUAUGAGAAUGGAGAAGGCUAACAAACGCUGUGGAUCGAAACCGAUUGUAGUGUCUUGCGUUUCGAUAUUGUUGGUGGCAAUGCCACGUCUUUCGAGGCCCGCUUCUGUGCGUCUUCCCAAAGGCCCUUCUCGGGGCCAACCCAAAGGCCCUUCUCAGGGCCAACCUAUGCCCCGAGACGCUUCGGCAAUUGAGACCAGCCGCGCGCCAUCCGAGGAAGCUACAUCGUGUCACGUGUCAUUGUGUGACUGUAAUGAGUGAAUCGAGCAGCGUAUCAACCCGCCAGACAAGGAGGAGGGCCUUCCUUAAGCGGGGCUCCGGAGACUCUUCGGAACCUCAAGGUGACCUUUGAGAAGUCCCUGAAAUGCCGGGCAGCGAGCUUGCUCGGCAUUGUGAAGGAGUUGACGCAGCGCACUACCUCCGAGGAGAAUGGGCAACUGCAGGCGAAAGUGGAUCGCCUGCAGAAAGAGGGGUCCGCGCUGCACGCGUUGCCGAGCCUACGACUCGGACCGAGGGGACGUCGAAAGGUCCAGCGACGGUGUCUCCCUCCUCCAAACAUGAAGAUAUCAUCCGCAAAGUAGUCAUGGAGGAGAGCGCCUUCAUCAGGGCCUGUUUCGCCGGCAUCGAGGACCGGCUCCUGCCGGAGUAGCGGCUUUGCCCUCCACUCGCGGUGGAUAAGGAGCCUGAAAAGAUGCCCAUUGCACCGGGGCCCUCAACGGCACCAGCCCAGUCGGAGCCUCAGGUAAAGAUCACCAAGGGCAAGGUAAACGGUGAGGGAAGUCCCACUGCUGCCCUCCACCAACCCUUCCAACCAGCCUUGGAUUAAAGUGGUAACGAGGAGGCGGAACGGGAAGAAGUCGGCUCCUGAGCCCCCUGCAGCCAAGCCUGCAGCUUUAGAGCAAGCUUUAGAGGACAAGAGAAGGAAGUUCGCUCCUCCUCCAAAAACUGCAGCCGCGGUAAUCACGUUGACCCCAGAGGCAGCGGAACGAGGGGAGACCUGUGAGUCCGUCCUGCGGCGAGCUCCAUCAAACGUUGACCCUGCGGAACUUGGGCCUGGCAGAGUCACGUGCCGGAAGACCUAAACGGAGGCUCGUAUUUUCGAGUUCUCGGGGGACCUAGGCGGCACCAAGGCGGACCUCUUCGCGACGAAGCUCCGAGAGGCUAUCGCGGACACGGCCAAGGUUGUGACGCCCGUCAAGUGUGUGACUCCAGAGGUGACCGACCUUGGCGACUCGGUAACGCAAGAGGAGGUGGUGACACCGGUUGCGGCGGUGGGGGCUGCGCCAUCGCAUCUGUCAAAUGCCGACUCACCACUUGUACCACGUAGAUGUAUCCUUGUUUCAAUAAAGUUGUAUUUCUUAUAUA
rnacentral:lncRNA from 1 species